GGCUUGAUAGCUCAGUUGGUAGAGCACUGCUCUGCUAUCACAGAGGUUAUGGGUUCAAAUCUCAUUCAAGCCU